rnacentral:lncRNA from 1 species
CGGAGGGCGGUGCUGGCACCGCCGCCGCUCCCACAGCGUUAUUUGUCAGGAUAACAUGUUUUGUUUGUUUGCCAAAGAAUAUAUUUGAUCAAAGAUCUCGGGGCUUAUCUGUCUCAAUGUUUUUGUCAUUGAUUAUACAACGUCUGUGUUUUCUAGGUCACUUACGUAUUAUGCUUCUAUAUGAGCAUGUCAAAGAAAUGUAUUCACUAAUGUAUGUUUAAUGUGAAUGCAUCUGAACUCUUAUUCAAACAACGAAUGUUUCCUACUCUUUAAUAUCUUCCACUCAACUCCUUUUGGAAAUUAACAUAUUUUUAUAAAUAUUAUCCAUAAUCCCAAAUAUUAUCAGCAGCUAUAAUAGGUUUAAAAAACCGUAACAUUUACAGUUGAGCCUUAUAGUCUGAUGCAUGUUUUUCACUAAUUAACCCAUUUUAGUUGUUUUGUAUCCCAAGACGCUCUGUAUUCAUCAUUUAUAUGCUCUAUUUAACUCUUUUCAGGCAGAAGACAAUAUGAAUAUAUACAAGCAAACUCCUGCAUAUGUUACCCUAGUGAAUUGUUCAUUCUUUGAUGAAUGUGCUGGCUGGAAAGUGAUUAUUGUAGCUGAAUAGAAAAUUCUUGUUCUCUUGUUUAAAAAAGAAAAAGAAAAAAAGAAAAAAAGGCUUUUUUUCCAGGACAUGGUGUUCCUAAAAGAGACAGAUUGACUCUAUAUGAAAUAAAAAAUAUGUAUACCAAAAUUACCAGCCUUUUAAUAAAAAGAGGUUUUCAAAGUUUUCAUAAGGCUAAUAUAUAAUAACACAACAGUACUGUCACUGUAUUCUGUAGCACUCCUAAACAACAGACCCCGCACAAACACUGAUGUUGCCUAUUUUCUCCACAGAAUCUCUGAAUGUAUUUACGUAUUUGGAAACCUGUUUUACCAAAAAUAUUUGAAUCUGAAAUGUGUGAUUCGUAUCCCAGCAAACUGACAUGGGAAUGGAAGUUGGAACUUGACGGGAAGUAUGGAAUGGCACAUCCUAAAAAUAGAAGUGCAACAGCACUGACUCAAGACCAAGUCAUCCCUUACAGGAAUUAUCUACAAAGGAAACGAAAUUUCAUGGCAUCUCUCUGUCAUCCUUCCCUGCAGAUGGUGCCUCCAAAUCCCUUCUGA